GCUGGGUGUGGUGGCGCACACCUGUAGUCCCAGCUACUUGGGAGGCUGAGGCAGGAGAAUCACUUGAACCCAGGAGAUGGAGGUUGCAGUGAGCUGAGAUCGUGCCACUGCACUCCAGCCUGGGUAACAGAGCGAGACUCUGUCUCAA
ensembl:misc_RNA Metazoa_SRP Metazoan signal recognition particle RNA